AUUGAACGCUGGCGGCAGGCCUAACACAUGCAAGUCGAGCGAGCGGCGGACGGGUGAGUAAUGUAUGGGGACUGCCCGAUAGAGGGGGAUAACUACUGGAAACGGUGGCUAAUACCGCAUACUAUCGGAUAACCCAUAUGGGAUUAGCUAGUAGGUGGGGUAAAGGCUCACCUAGGCGACGAUCUCUAGCUGGUCUGAGAGGGUGAUCAGCCACACUGGGACUGAGACACGGCCCAGACUCCUACGGAGGCAGCAGUGGGGAAUAUUGCGCAAUGGGCGCAAGCCUGAUGCAGCAAAGCCGCGUGAAUGAAGAAGGCUUUAGGGUUGUAAAGUACUUUCAGCAGAGAAGCGGUACCCGCACAGGAAGCAACGGCUAACUCCGUGCCAGCAGCCGCGGUAAUAC
rnacentral:rRNA from 1 species